UACGUAGGGUGCAAGCGUUGUCCGGAAUUAUUGGGCGUAAAGAGCUCGUAGGCGGUCUGUCGCGUCGGCUGUGAAAUCCCGAGGCUCAACCUCGGGUCUGCAGUCGAUACGGGCAAACUAGAGUAUUGCAGGGGAGACUGGAAUUCCUGGUGUAGCGGUGAAAAUGCGCAGAUAUCAGGAGGAACACCGGUGGCGAAGGCGGG
rnacentral:rRNA from 1 species